rnacentral:rRNA from 11 species
ACUAAUGUAUUCAACGAGUCUACAGCCUUGAUCAAUAGACCCAAGUAAUCUUUGAAAUUUCAUCAUGAUGAGGAUAGAUCAUAGCAAUUAUUGGUCUUCAAC